rnacentral:rRNA from 1 species
UGGGGAUGACGUCAAAUCAUCAUGCCCCUUAUGACCUGGGCUACACACGUGCUACAAUGGUUGGUACAACGAGUUGCGAGUCGGUGACGGCGAGCUAAUUUCUUAAAGCCAAUCUCAGUUCGGAUUGUAGGCUGCAACUCGCCUACAUGAAGUCGGAAUCGCUAGUAAUCGCGGAUCAGCACGCCCGCGGUCCGAUACGUUCCGGCCUU